rnacentral:rRNA from 1 species
UACGAAGGGGGCUAGCGUUGUUCGGAAUUACUGGGCGUAAAGGGCGUGUAGGCGGCCCGUUAAGUCAGGUGUGAAAUUCCUGGGCUCAACCCAGGACGUGCGCCUGAGACUGGCGGGCUUGAGUCCGGGAGAGGAUGGUGGAACUCCCAGUGUAGAGGUGAAAUUCGUAGAUAUUAGGAAGAACACCGGUGGCGAAGGCGGCCCACUGGUCCGGUACUGACGCUGAGGUGCGAAAGCGUGGGGAGCAAACAGG